rnacentral:rRNA from 1 species
AACCGGGGGGGGUAUGCUAGUACUGCAGUCGAGCGAAGAGAUGGGAGCUUGCUCCCUGAUCUUAGCGGCGGACGGGUGAGUAACACGUGGGCAACCUGCCCUGCAGACUGGGAUAACUCCGGGAAACCGGAGCUAAUACCGGGUAAUACAUCGCACCGCAUGGUGCAAUGUUGAAAGUUGGCCUUUGGCUAACACUGCAGGAUGGGCCCGCGGCGCAUUAGCUAGUUGGUAAGGUAACGGCUUACCAAGGCGACGAUGCGUAGCCGACCUGAGAGGGUGAUCGGCCACACUGGGACUGAGACACGGCCCAGACUCCUACGGGAGGCAGCAGUAGGGAAUCUUCCGCAAUGGACGAAAGUCUGACGGAGCAACGCCGCGUGAGUGACGAAGGCCUUCGGGUCGUAAAGCUCUGUUGUUAGGGAAGAACAAGUACCGUUCGAAUAGGGCGGUACCUUGACGGUACCUAACCAGAAAGCCACGGCUAACUACGUGCCAGCAGCCGCGGUAAUACGUAGGUGGCAAGCGUUGUCCGGAAUUAUUGGGCGUAAAGCGCGCGCAGGCGGUCUUUUAAGUCUGAUGUGAAAGCCCACGGCUCAACCGUGGAGGGUCAUUGGAAACUGGAGGACUUGAGUGCAGAAGAGGAGAGUGGAAUUCCACGUGUAGCGGUGAAAUGCGUAGAUAUGUGGAGGAACACCAGUGGCGAAGGCGGCUCUCUGGUCUGUAACUGACGCUGAGGCGCGAAAGCGUGGGGAGCAAACAGGAUUAGAUACCCUGGUAGUCCACGCCGUAAACGAUGAGUGCUAGGUGUUGGGGGGUUCCACCCUCAGUGCUGAAGUUAACACAUUAAGCACUCCGCCUGGGGAGUACGACCGCAAGGUUGAAACUCAAAGGAAUUGAC